rnacentral:rRNA from 3 species
CUAAAUGCGGAAGAGAUAAGUGCUGAAAGCAUCUAAGCACGAAACUUGCCCCGAGAUGAGUUCUCCCUGAGACUUUAAGUCUCCUGAAGGAACGUUGAAGACGACGACGUUGAUAGGCCGGGUGUGUAAGCGCAGCGAUGCGUUGAGCUAACCGGUACUAAUGAACCGUGAGGCUUAACCUU